CAGCCGCCACGGUAAUACGAAGGGGGCUAGCGUUGUUCGGAUUUACUGGGCGUAUAGCGCGCGUAGGCGGAUCGAUCAGUCAGGGGUGAAAUCCCAGAGCUCAACUCUGGAACUGCCUUUGAUACUGUCGAUCUGGAGUAUGGAAGAGGUGAGUGGAAUUCCGAGUGUAGAGGUGAAAUUCGUAGAUAUUCGGAGGAACACCAGUGGCGAAGGCGGCUCACUGGUCCAUUACUGACGCUGAGGUGCGAAAGCGUGGGGAGCAAACAGGAUUAGAUACCCCUGUAGUCCCUGUCUCUUAUAC
rnacentral:rRNA from 1 species